UCAGCCUGAAUGCCUGGAAAUACUCAGUAUGAGGCACAGCUAGUGAUUAGAAAUGUAUCUGGCAGAGACUAUGGGAUUUCUCCAUCAGUCAGCUUCCCUCUUUGUGAGCACAGGCAGGUUCAUACCAGCAUUCAUAUAAUUUUGUCUUAACUGCUGCUGCUUCUUAGUAUAAAAAGACUUCAAAUGGCAUUUUUCUUACUAGCCUUCCUAGCAGAGGCUCCCAUGGCACCUAGGAUCUGGGAGCCUCAAUAUGAUGAAUUAGUCUCCCUCUCCAAUAUCUUUACAGGCUGAAGAUACCAGCUUGGAGGCUACUGAUACCUUGACGUUUUGUUUCUUGGAGUACCCAGUGGAAAUAAUGAAGCAAUAAGAUCCAGGAAGAGUCACCUGAUGGUUUUUGGCAGGCUACCAAGCCUAUAAUUACCUGCCAUUACUCUUGUUGAGUAUCAGCAGAGCACCGGCAUCCUUUCAGGCUUCUUGAAUGUUCCUGCAAUUCUGAAACCAGCAAUAUGCUCAUCCAGAAGUUUUGAGGUGUAAAUUACCAAGGGCUCAAUUUUAAAAGUGUCUAAACUUCACAGGACUUUUUGAAAUUUCCUAUUACUAGUGCACUGUAAAUCAAACUUUAAAUCACUUCACAGAAAGACAGAACAUUCUGAGUUGAAAGGGACCCACGUGGAUCUUUGAAGUUCAACUCCUGGCCCUGCACAGGACAUACCAAGAGUCCCACUGUGUGCCUGAGAGCAUAGUCCAAAUGCUUCUUUAACACUGUCAAGUGCUGAGACCCCUUCCCUGGGGAGCCUUUUCCAGUGCCCAACCACCCUUUGGGUGAAGAACCUCUUCACAAUAUCCAACCUAAACCUUGAGUAGUGUCACUGGUCAGCACAGAGAAAAGAUCAGUGCCUUCCCUCCUAAGGCAGUUGUAGAUUGCAAUGAGGCCUCUCCUCACUCUUCUCCAGGCUGAACAGUGACCAAGUGACCUCAGCCACUCCUCAAACAGCUUCCCCUCUAGGCCCUUCAGCAUCUUCAUUGCCCUCCUUUGGACACUCUCUAAAACCUCUCAAUGUUAAUGUCCUUUUAACAUAGCAGUGACUGAAACUGCCCCCAGCCCUGGAGGUGAGGCUGCCCCAGAGCAGAGCAGAGCAGGACAAUCCCCUCCCUUGCCUGGCUGGUGAUGCUGUGCCUGAUGCACCCAGGGCAGGGCUGGCCCUCCUGGCUGCCAGGGUACUGCUGGCUCACGUUCCACUUGUCAGUGACCAGGAUCCUUGGUCCCUUUCCACAGCACUGCUUUCCAGCAUCUCAUUCCCCUGAGUCUCUGUACAUUCAGGAUCUUCUUUGUAAUACCUAAUUCUGUGUUAUUUUUAAGCACAUAUCAUAAAGCUAAGAAAAGCUUUUCAACUUUAUAGUGAAUAUCAAAAUCCACCGGUGAGACUAUGCCACUAUUACAAUAUAUUUUGCUCUAAGUAUACCUUAAAAGCUUUCAUUCUCAUUUGCUUUACCUUUACUACCUAUGAGUUUUCCCAGAGAUAAACUUCCCUAAAUAAACAUUUUACUCCUUUUUCAUUUGGUAUAUCAAUAUAUAUAUAAUUUAAAAUAUUUUUUAAUCUCCUGUCUUCUUUGAGUAUCUCUCUUUAGCAGCUACUUACACAUAGCCGUAACUUUGCUUGGUUCUUCUCCUUCAAAAUAAUGGUCUUUAGAUUUAGAAAAUUAGCUUUAUUGAAGAAUAUAGUUUGCAUUGGAAUGGAGAUCUGUCUUCUUUUAAGAAAUUUAGGUUAUAUUGUAGUUAUUGAUUCUUAGAUAUCCACAAAUUUCGGUCCAGCAAUUAAUUUUUUAUGUAUUGUGUGAUUCUGUAAUUGCAUCAUCACUGGUGCAAUGCCAUUUGCAUUAGAAAAUUAUCAUCUGUAUUAUUUAGCUAAAACAGUUUCAGAUUUUGAAUUCAAUAAUGGAAUAGGCUUAAAUUAGUAAUGCAAAGUAGUUUUGCUAUAAAAAACACAGGCUGGAGAAACUGGUUUUAUGCCAUGAAUCCUUGCCAGAUUUUGAUGUAACAAACUGAACAUAAUUUAAAAUUAUGCCUAAAAGGUUUUUUAUUGUGUUUUGAAAAUAAGAUUUAUAUGUUUUAUUAUUGUCAAUUAAAAUUAUGUGAAAGCAACUGUGUAUAAUUGUUUUUGGAGGGUGUCACAAAGGGGAAAACCAUGUAAAUAUCAUAGGAGACAUUAUGUUAAAAGUAUGUUAAAAAGAUUUUAUUUGUGCAUGGUUACCAUAACAACCAGAUGCAUGUAUGAAGCUUUUUAAUUCACUUAGCUGAGGUGCAUCGUGUUCAUUGUUUGCCACCUCUGCCUAUUGCCUCAUCCCAGGUCCUACCCAACUGCUGUUGGCAGUCUAUGAAGCCAAGAGAAGUGAGGGUGACAAGAGGUUACUGCCAGCUCCCUGAGGGGUGGUGCUGGCAUUGUGGAUGGACACCGAUUUGUCAGGCACUGCCUGUACGGGUGGGUUUAUUGAAGCACGGGAUGUCUCUGCAGAAUGGGAAUGUUUGACAGCACACCAAUGCUUUCAUGACCCCAGCCACUGUAAUAUGCUUUGUGUCUUAAUUAUGUACAAAGUAAACUGUGAAAUAAGCUAUAAUUUAAUCUUAGUUUUGUAUGUAAUUGAAGCAAAAUUUGUAAUGGCAGAGUCUAAAAAUUAUGUAGGCAGAGCGGGUUGCCCAUUUCUAAUAAGAUUUAUGGUUCAGAUGGGGUAUU